UAAAUGGCUUAUUUGCAAGUUGUCCCACCACCAAUCUCACCAUUAUCAGUACUAGCCAAUCAUCCAGACCGCCCGUACGAAGUGCUGAAACCUCUGGGCCAGGGAUCCUUCGGGCAGGUGGCUCUAGUAUCGAAUCGGCGAUAUCCUGAAAUGCUGGCCGCACUGAAGCGGAUUGUAAUCACUGGACAGGAUCGGGAGUACAUAGACGCCAUCAGAAAGGAGAUCACGAUUCAGGAAUCUCUCACGGGGCAUGAAAAUGUGAUUCAGGUGCUUGGGAAGGAGUCCGAUGCCCAAUUCUGCUACAUGUUUUUGGAGUACGCGGAUGGAGGCGAUCUUUAUGAGAAGAUCACCUCAGGCUGUUCAUUUUCACUAGAAGAAGCACAUAGUUAUUUCAAGCAACUUGUGAAUGGGCUCAAGUUUCUUCAUUGUAGAGAUGUGGCGCAUCGGGACAUCAAGCCAGAAAACCUAAUGCUCACCCACUCGGGUAAGUCGGAAAUGCGUAGGCUGAGGUUUAGUUUUUUUAGCUUAAGUUUAAGCUUAGUCUAAGGCGGGGCUGACGGUGGCAUACAUAAGUACAUAUGCGAUACCUCAAAAAAUUGCAAAUUCCAUUUCAUUAUCCAACAUUUUCAGGACACCUAAAAAUCGCCGAUUUCGGGCUCGCCACAUGGUAUCGCUACAAAGGAGCGGAGCUGAUUUUCGAGCAACGUUGCGGUUCAGUGGAGUACGUUGCUCCAGAAAUUUACACUGGAGCCCAGUAUCGAGGGCCACAAAUCGAUAUUUGGUCGGCUGGAGUUGUGCUUCUGGCGAUGUUGACUCGACAACUGCCAUGGGAGUUUCCGUGCAUGUAAGUUGGGAUUAUGAACUUGUCUAGAAACACAUAAACGCCUGCCUUCUGCCUACACGACUGCCUAGGUAUCGCUAGAAUAUAGAGCAGGAAAUAGGCAUUCAUUUAGGCAGGUAUGUGGGCAGGUCCCAUACAGGUAUGUAGGCAGGUCCCAUGCAGGUAUGUGGGCAGGUCCCAUACAGGUAUGUAGGCAGGUCCCAUGCAGGUAUGUAGGCAAGUUAAAACCCAUUCAAAUAAAAAUUCAGAGCCCAAAAAAAUGCAUAUUUAAUUUUAGGACAAACAAGCGCUACUUCUUCUGGAUGAAAAACCGGGUCGCCCAUAUCGACGCGUGGAAUGAGCUCAGCUGCCGAGCCAAGAAACUGCUCUGGAAAAUGCUUUCUCCAGGUUCAGAGAAUCGAGCAACAAUCGAGGAAAUUCAAUCAAG
rnacentral:sRNA from 1 species